GUGCUGGCUUUGGCAACACAUAUGCUAAAAUUGGAAGGAUACAGAGAAAAGUAGCAUGGCCCCUGUGCAGGGAUGACAAGUAAAUUCAUGAAGUAUUUUUUU
rnacentral:snRNA from 1 species